rnacentral:lncRNA from 1 species
AGACACCAGAGCUGUCCCUCUCUCGGCUUGCACUAAGGAGGAGGUCACGUGAGCACACAGUGAGAAGGCGGAGGACCAUCUGCAAGCAGGAAGAGAGCCCUCGCUAGAACCCCCCACGGUGGCAUCUGAUAGUGGACUUCUAGCUUCCAGAACUGAACUCAUAAAUGUCACAUCAGGCUGCCUCUUGGUGAAUUUUUAAUCAACGGGGAGAAUUUCAGCUACAAAUAGACCAAGAAUCAAGAGGCCCACUAUUGAUCGGUCAAAGUGGCACUUAUGAACCUGAGGUUGAAGCAGUUUGGAUAAAAGGAUUCUGGGCUUUCGAUGGCCCCAGAGACAUCUUUUUCCAUCAAGUCCAGGCUUGCUGAUCGGUACAGCUGAGAACAUGUUGAAUUUGAUGUGCCUGUGGAUAUUUGAGUCUGGAACAUUGAAGACAAGUUUGGUCUGGAGAUGUAGACUGGGGAUAUCUCAGCACACAGAUGAUAACUGAAAUGAUGGAGCGGAUGAUAUAAACUGGAGAGAGUCUGGUGUGGGAAGAGUCUUCCCUGAGGUGGCCGAAAGAUGUAAUUCUUACU